ensembl:lncRNA
GUUUUUUUUUUAGGAAUCUUUCCUCUCCUUUGAACUGUCUACACAGUGCUAUUGCCCCCCUUUUGUUUAGAAAAGAAAAACAGAUCAAAAUCAUCCAUUAUUCCUCCAGUCAUCAAAUUUCUCAACAUGAGCAUGGGUGACAAUCAACCCCGAGAUGCAAGGAGAGAGAAAUUUUCUGUAUAUUGUUUUGGUUUUUGCUUAUUUUUGUUGUUUUGUGUUUGUGGUGUGUGGUGUGUGGUGUGUACGAAUGUCAGGUGGAAGCCAAUUUCCCCUUCGGCAUAUUUGUCAUCUUUUGCCAUUUUGAUACUCAAGCAAUGUGAACCAGUCAGCCUAAUUAAUUGUAUGGCCCUGAUUAAUGCACACGUGAACAUCUACAAACUUUUUUUCAGCUCGUUUUAUUAGUGCCGGCCCUCAAUCACAAUUACUUGGCCGUGGGUGACGCUUGUAGCAGGAGAAAAUAUUGCCAGUAAACGGUUUAGUGGCGAAUAAUCUUUGCCAGCAGGUGGCAGCAUAUUCCCAGGUCUUUGACGUUAGUGGCACAGAUGUUAGUGCAAUCCAGCACUGUAGUUAAAAGUUUGUGUGGAUUUUAUUGGCACGUUUCUUCAGAUGACAUAACAGGUAAUAUUUUCUUAAAGUCUAUUUUAAAGACCUCGGUUGAGUCGUUUAUCCAAUUUACAAAGAUACAAAAGAAGUGACAUUAUCAGUAAAAAAAAAACAAAAAAAACAACAACAACAACAACAAACAAAAUAUAUAUGUUUUGCAUGCAUGUUUUUCCACAUCUCCAGUGAAACAGUGAAGGCUCUGCACCAAGAACAUCUGAUAUAUUAAUCAACUGAGACAAUAAAAGUCAUAUCAUAUCUAUUUCUGAUUGUUUGCAGGUAAAACAGCUAAAGUCACGGGGUAAUAAAAUGACGUAAACCCACGCAGAAAAUAUUCGCAGUCAUGCUCCAAACGUGAAGUCGGUGCUGUACACUAGUACAGGUGGUGACCCCAAACUCUUCAUGCCAGGAGGAUGAGACAAAAAUGUAAUUAUGAGUGAAAAAGAGGAAACAGCUCCACAUGGCCUCGGGGAUUGGCAUAACCUUUUGUGGCGGAUAGUUCAAAUUAGACCGGUGUCGCUCCAGACCCACCUUUGACCCCGGAAACUUAACUUCUGCAGGAUCCAGAAGAAGGCUUUUGCAUUUUUAGUUUAUUAUUAUGUAUCUUUACUUUUACUCCGUGUCUG